GGGCUGAGGAGGAGAUGGGCGUGCGCUGCUCGUCGAGGCGGAGACGCUGGUGGCGGCGGCGCUCCUCGAGGACGUCGGACACCAUGCCUAGGACGGCAAUGGCGACGGCGGCGCGGGCUAGCUCUGGUCGUCGUUGGCUGCGAGCUGCAGUCCACGAAAACGAAGACAGCACGCGUCAAAAGAAGCGCAUGGAGGAGUAGAAGGAGAGAGGGCAGAAGAUGGGGGCACGGACCUCUUGGUGUGCCGGCGACAUCCAAGCGAAGGCGGCGGCGGUGCUAGGGUUCCGGCGAGCAAUCGCGGCGACGUGGGCGCGUGCGAGAGGGGGCGAGCAGAGGGAAAAGGAAGAGGGGGCUCCGGGCUUUUAAAGGACGCGGGUGGCUUGCUUUGGGAAGGCCGGAAUCACCGGGGACGGAGAUGGCGGCGACGAGUCCGGCACGGAUUCAGCGGCGCUUUCCUUCGGGGAGACGAAGGCCCUGACAGGUGGGCCCCACCUGUCAGGGGCUAGCGGGCGCGUGCGCAGCUGGCUGGGCCGGGCUUGCUCGGUCAGUUCACGCGGAACUGGGCCGGUUCGGCCCAUUUGGCCAGGCCGGUCCGGUUUACUCCUUUUUUUUUUCUUCUGGCCUUUUCUUUUUUUGUUUUUUCUGAUUUCUUUGAUAUCUUUUGAUUUUGAACUCCAAAUUGGUCCAAAUAAAUUUCAGAAAAUUCGUAAAAUCAUGUUUUAUCAUGAUUCAACUUUUGGGAGUAAUUUCCCCUCAAAAUAAAAUAUACAAAAAUACUUUUGCCCUAUAAAUGCCUUUAGGGCCUUAUAACUAUUUAAAUAAAAUAGUUUUUCAACUCCAAAUAAUUAUCCAAAAAUUAUGAGAUUGCCUAUUUAUGCAAUAAACCCCUUUUAUAGAUAAACCCUAUUGGUUUGACGAUCCAAAGUUCAUAUGGACGAAAACCCUAGGGUUUAAAUUGGAAUAAAAUCUUUUAAAACCUUUUGAGAUUCAAAUUUGAAUUGAAAUAUGCAAAAGUGGC
rnacentral:lncRNA from 1 species